rnacentral:rRNA from 1 species
GGGAUGAACUGACCUCUGGUCUACCAGCUGUCCUGCCAAGGGCACCGCUGGGUAGCUAUGUCGGGUCGUGAUAACCGCUGAAAGCAUAUAAGCGGGAAACAUGCUCCAAGAUUAGGAAUCGUUAUGAGACUCGUGGGAGAUUACCACGUUGAUAGGCUCUAGGUGGAAGUGCCGCAAGGCAUGGAGCCGAGGAGUACUAAUAUGUCCAGUCUCUCGUGCGG